GACGAACGCUGGCGGCGCGCCUAACACAUGCAAGUCGAACGAGCGAGAGAGAGCUUGCUUUCUUGAGCGAGUGGCGAACGGGUGAGUAACGCGUGAGGAACCUGCCUCAAAGAGGGGGACAACAGUUGGAAACGACUGCUAAUACCGCAUAAGCCCACGGUGCCGCAUGGCACAGAGGGAAAAGGAGCAAUCCGCUUUGAGAUGGCCUCGCGUCCGAUUAGCUAGUUGGUGAGGUAACGGCCCACCAAGGCGACGAUCGGUAGCCGGACUGAGAGGUUGAACGGCCACAUUGGGACUGAGACACGGCCCAGACUCCUACGGGAGGGAGGAGUGGGGAAUAUUGCACAAUGGGGGAAACCCUGAUGCAGCGACGCCGCGUGGAGGAAGAAGGUCUUCGGAUUGUAAACUCCUGUUGUUGGGGAAGAUAAUGACGGUACCCAACAAGGAAGUGACGGCUAACUACGUG
rnacentral:rRNA from 1 species